AGGACGAACGCUGGCGGCGUGCUUAACACAUGCAAGUCGAGCGGAAAGGCCCUUCGGGGUACUCGAGCGGCGAACGGGUGAGUAACACGUGAGCAACCUGCCCCUGGCUCUGGGAUAGCCUCCGGAAACGGGGAUUAAUACCGGACAUUCACUUCCUUCCGCAUGGUUGGUGGUGGAAAGUUUUUCGGCCGGGGAGGGGCUCGCGGUCUAUCAGCUUGUUGGCGGGGUAACGGCCCACCAAGGCGACGACGGAUAGCCGGCCUGAGAGGGCGAUCGGCCACACUGGGACUGAGACACGGCCCAGACUCCUACGGGAGGCAGCAGUGGGGAAUAUUGCACAAUGGGGCGCAAGCCUGAUGCAGCGACGCCGCGUGGGGGAUGAAGGCCUUCGGGUUGUAAACCCCUUUCACCAGGAGCGAAUUCAGACGGUACCUGGGAAGAGCGCCGGCUAACUACGCGCCAGCAGCCGC
rnacentral:rRNA from 1 species